rnacentral:rRNA from 1 species
UUAAGCGACUAAGCGUACACGGUGGAUGCCCUGGCAGUCAGAGGCGAUGAAGGACGUGCUAAUCUGCGAUAAGCGUCGGUAAGGUGAUAUGAACCGUUAUAACCGGCGAUUUCCGAAUGGGGAAACCCAGUGUGUUUCGACACACUAUCAUUAACUGAAUCCAUAGGUUAAUGAGGCGAACCGGGGGAACUGAAACAUCUAAGUACCCCGAGGAAAAGAAAUCAACCGAGAUUCCCCCAGUAGCGGCGAGCGAACGGGGAGCAGCCCAGAGCCUGAAUCAGUGUGUGUGUUAGUGGAAGCGUCUGGAAAGGCGCGCGAUACAGGGUGACAGCCCCGUACACAAAAAUGCACAUAUUGUGAGCUCGAUGAGUAGGGCGGGACACGUGGUAUCCUGUCUGAAUAUGGGGGGACCAUCCUCCAAGGCUAAAUACUCCUGACUGACCGAUAGUGAACCAGUACCGUGAGGGAAAGGCGAAAAGAACCCCGGCGAGGGGAGUGAAAAAGAACCUGAAACCGUGUACGUACAAGCAGUGGGAGCCUCUUUUAUGGGGUGACUGCGUACCUUUUGUAUAAUGGGUCAGCGACUUAUAUUCUGUAGCAAGGUUAACCGAAUAGGGGAGCCGAAGGGAAACCGAGUCUUAACUGGGCGUUAAGUUGCAGGGUAUAGACCCGAAACCCGGUGAUCUAGCCAUGGGCAGGUUGAAGGUUGGGUAACACUAACUGGAGGACCGAACCGACUAAUGUUGAAAAAUUAGCGGAUGACUUGUGGCUGGGGGUGAAAGGCCAAUCAAACCGGGAGAUAGCUGGUUCUCCCCGAAAGCUAUUUAGGUAGCGCCUCGUGAAUUCAUCUCCGGGGGUAGAGCACUGUUUCGGCAAGGGGGUCAUCCCGACUUACCAACCCGAUGCAAACUGCGAAUACCGGAGAAUGUUAUCACGGGAGACACACGGCGGGUGCUAACGUCCGUCGUGAAGAGGGAAACAACCCAGACCGCCAGCUAAGGUCCCAAAGUCAUGGUUAAGUGGGAAACGAUGUGGGAAGGCCCAGACAGCCAGGAUGUUGGCUUAGAAGCAGCCAUCAUUUAAAGAAAGCGUAAUAGCUCACUGGUCGAGUCGGCCUGCGCGGAAGAUGUAACGGGGCUAAACCAUGCACCGAAGCUGCGGCAGCGACACUAUGUGUUGUUGGGUAGGGGAGCGUUCUGUAAGCCUGUGAAGGUGUGCUGUGAGGCAUGCUGGAGGUAUCAGAAGUGCGAAUGCUGACAUAAGUAACGAUAAAGCGGGUGAAAAGCCCGCUCGCCGGAAGACCAAGGGUUCCUGUCCAACGUUAAUCGGGGCAGGGUGAGUCGACCCCUAAGGCGAGGCCGAAAGGCGUAGUCGAUGGGAAACAGGUUAAUAUUCCUGUACUUGGUGUUACUGCGAAGGGGGACGGAGAAGGCUAUGUUGGCCGGGCGACGGUUGUCCCGGUUUAAGCGUGUAGGCUGGUUUUCCAGGCAAAUCCGGAAAAUCAAGGCUGAGGCGUGAUGACGAGGCACUACGGUGCUGAAGCAACAAAUGCCCUGCUUCCAGGAAAAGCCUCUAAGCAUCAGGUAACAUCAAAUCGUACCCCAAACCGACACAGGUGGUCAGGUAGAGAAUACCAAGGCGCUUGAGAGAACUCGGGUGAAGGAACUAGGCAAAAUGGUGCCGUAACUUCGGGAGAAGGCACGCUGAUAUGUAGGUGAAGUCCCUCGCGGAUGGAGCUGAAAUCAGUCGAAGAUACCAGCUGGCUGCAACUGUUUAUUAAAAACACAGCACUGUGCAAACACGAAAGUGGACGUAUACGGUGUGACGCCUGCCCGGUGCCGGAAGGUUAAUUGAUGGGGUCAGCGCAAGCGAAGCUCUUGAUCGAAGCCCCGGUAAACGGCGGCCGUAACUAUAACGGUCCUAAGGUAGCGAAAUUCCUUGUCGGGUAAGUUCCGACCUGCACGAAUGGCGUAAUGAUGGCCAGGCUGUCUCCACCCGAGACUCAGUGAAAUUGAACUCGCUGUGAAGAUGCAGUGUACCCGCGGCAAGACGGAAAGACCCCGUGAACCUUUACUAUAGCUUGACACUGAACAUUGAGCCUUGAUGUGUAGGAUAGGUGGGAGGCUUAGAAGUGUGGACGCCAGUCUGCAUGGAGCCGACCUUGAAAUACCACCCUUUAAUGUUUGAUGUUCUAACGUUGACCCGUGAUCCGGGUUGCGGACAGUGUCUGGUGGGUAGUUUGACUGGGGCGGUCUCCUCCUAAAGAGUAACGGAGGAGCACGAAGGUUGGCUAAUCCUGGUCGGACAUCAGGAGGUUAGUGCAAUGGCAUAAGCCAGCUUGACUGCGAGCGUGACGGCGCGAGCAGGUGCGAAAGCAGGUCAUAGUGAUCCGGUGGUUCUGAAUGGAAGGGCCAUCGCUCAACGGAUAAAAGGUACUCCGGGGAUAACAGGCUGAUACCGCCCAAGAGUUCAUAUCGACGGCGGUGUUUGGCACCUCGAUGUCGGCUCAUCACAUCCUGGGGCUGAAGUAGGUCCCAAGGGUAUGGCUGUUCGCCAUUUAAAGUGGUACGCGAGCUGGGUUUAGAACGUCGUGAGACAGUUCGGUCCCUAUCUGCCGUGGGCGCUGGAGAACUGAGGGGGGCUGCUCCUAGUACGAGAGGACCGGAGUGGACGCAUCACUGGUGUUCGGGUUGUCAUGCCAAUGGCACUGCCCGGUAGCUAAAUGCGGAAGAGAUAAGUGCUGAAAGCAUCUAAGCACGAAACUUGCCCCGAGAUGAGUUCUCCCUGACCCUUUAAGGGUCCUGAAGGAACGUUGAAGACGACGACGUUGAUAGGCCGGGUGUGUAAGCGCAGCGAUGCGUUGAGCUAACCGGUACUAAUGAACCGUGAGGCUUAACCUU